UACGUAGGGAGCGAGCGUUGUCCGGAAUUACUGGGCGUAAAGGGCGUGUAGGCGGGGAUUUAAGUAAGGUGUGAAAACUCCAGGCUCAACUUGGAGACUGCACUUUAAACUGGAUCUCUUGAGGGCAGGAGAGGAAAGUGGAAUUCCUAGUGUAGCGGUGAAAUGCGUAGAUAUUAGGAGGAACACCAGUGGCGAAGGCGACUUUCUGGACUGUACCUGACGCUGAGGCGCGAAAGCGUGGGUAGCGAACAGG
rnacentral:rRNA from 1 species